GAUGAACGCUGGCGGCAGGCCUAACACAUGCAAGUCGAGCGGAAACACGAUGAGAUCUUUCCUUUUCCGGUGGCGAGUGACGGGCGAGUGAGACGUACAUAACCUACCUCUUAGACUGGGAUGAGAACGGGAAACCGGAGAUAAUACUAGCUCAUACAGCCAACCGCAUAAUUCAAUAGAGCAAGACGGUUUUGCUGUCAGUUAUAGAUGGAUCCGCGUCGGAUUAGCUAGUUGGUAAGGUAACGGCUAACCAAGGCAACGAUGCGUAGCUGACCUGAGAGGAGGAUCAGCCACACUGGAACUGAGACACGGUCCAGACUCCUACGGGAGGCAGCAGUGGGGAAUCUUCCACAAUGGGCGAAAGCCUGACCGAGCAACGCCGCGUGGGUGAAGAAGGUCUUCGGGUCGUAAAGCUCUGUUGUUUGGAAAGAACAACAGUGUAAGUAUCUAUGGACGUCUUGACGGUACCUAAUGAAUAAGCACCGGCUAACUUCGUG
rnacentral:rRNA from 1 species